UACGUAGGGCGCAAGCGUUAUCCGGAAUUAUUGGCGUAAGAGCUCGUAGGCGGUUGUCGCGUCUGCCGUGAAGUCCGGGCUCAACUCCGGAUCUGCGGUGGUACGGGCAGACUAGAGUGAUGUAGGGAGACUGGAAUUCCUGGUGUAGCGGUGAAAUGCGCAGAUAUCAGAGGACACCGAUGGCGAAGGCAGGUCUCUGGGCAUUAACUGACGCUGAGGAGCGAAGCAUGGGGAGCGAACAGG
rnacentral:rRNA from 1 species